rnacentral:rRNA from 1 species
UCGAACGAAGGGAAGGGGGCUUGCCCCCUGAACUUAGUGGCGGACGGCUGAGUAACACGUGAGCAACCUGCCCUAUAGAGGGGGAUAACGUUUGGAAACGAACGCUAAUACCGCAUAACGCGCUGGGGGGACAUCCCUUUGGCGCCAAAGGAGCAAUCCGCUAUAGGAUGGGCUCGCGUCCGAUUAGAUAGUUGGCGGGGUAACGGCCCACCAAGUCGACGAUCGGUAGCCGGACUGAGAGGUUGAACGGCCACAUUGGGACUGAGACACGGCCCAGACUCCUACGGGAGGCAGCAGUGGGGGAUAUUGCACAAUGGAGGGAACUCUGAUGCAGCGACGCCGCGUGAGGGAAGAAGGUUUUCGGAUUGUAAACCUCUGUCUUCGGUGACGAAACGAGACGGUAGCCGAGGAGGAAGCCACGGCUAACUACGUGCCAGCAGCCGCGGUAAUACGUAGGUGGCAAGCGUUGUCCGGAAUUACUGGGUGUAAAGGGAGCGUAGGCGGGAAAGCAAGUUGAACGUUUAAGGUACGGGCUCAACCUGUACAAGCGUUCAAAACUGUUUUUCUUGAGUGGAGUAGAGGUAAGCGGAAUUCCUAGUGUAGCGGUGAAAUGCGUAAAUAUUAGGAGGAACACCAGUGGCGAAGGCGGCUUACUGGGCUUUAACUGACGCUGAGGCUCGAAAGCGUGGGUAGCAAACAGGAUUAGAUACCCUGGUAGUCCACGCCGUAAACGAUGAUUACUAGGUG